GAUGAACGCUGGCGGCGUGCCUAACACAUGCAAGUCGAGCGAAGCACUUACUUUAGAUUUCUUCGGAAUGACGAAGUUUGUGACUGAGCGGCGGACGGGUGGGUAACGCGUGGGCAACCUGCCCUGUACAGGGGGAUAACAGUUAGAAAUGACUGCUAAUACCGCAUAAGCCCACAGCUUCGCAUGAAGCAGUGGGAAAAACUCCGGUGGUACAGGAUGGGCCCGCGUCUGAUUAGCUAGUUGGUAAGGUAACGGCUUACCAAGGCGACGAUCAGUAGCCGACCUGAGAGGGUGACCGGCCACAUUGGGACUGAGACACGGCCCAAACUCCUACGGGAGGCAGCAGUGGGGAAUAUUGCACAAUGGGGGAAACCCUGAUGCAGCGACGCCGCGUGAGCGAUGAAGUAUUUCGGUAUGUAAAGCUCUAUCAGCAGGGAAGAAAGUGACGGUACCUGACUAAGAAGCCCCGGCUAACUACGUG
rnacentral:rRNA from 1 species